AUUUUAAUAUGAAGCAAUUUUAUCAAAAAUUCUAACUUGGAGAACUUUGCACAAUUUAGAUAGAGUGGCUCUCGUGCAUCCCUUACAAGCUUUGCAAAUUAUUCAGAAGUCCCUUCUAUCUUAAGUCGGAUAUUAUGUUCAUGAUCAGAAUUGCCUUCAAAUGCACUAGUACUCAUGCAUACACUUGAAUAAACACCCGAUGAAAAAUUAUCC
rnacentral:lncRNA from 1 species